CCGGUUCACACAAGAUAUACAUGGCACCACAUCCCAGAAGGCAGCAUUCUUGAUUAAUUCCUUGUUUUCACUACGAAUAUUCUGACAGAGUUUCUAGCAACAUUAAAUAUUAUGUGUGAGACGGGUGAGAGAGUGGGCAAAGUGUUACGUGUGCAUUCAUAUACAGGUAUAAUAAUAAGAGAGUGAGUGCAUAUGUAACAAUUUCAUUUUCACAGAAUUAUUACAGCAAACUCUAUGUUCACAAUAGUGGAUUACAUUGAGGCACCGCACAAAGUGCAAACCACAGGAAAACAAACCCUACAACUGAUGCCUUCACACACAAAGCAGGUGUUCUAACAGUGAUAUGUGCAAAUGAACAUAUUUUAAAAUUCUAUUUUACAGCAUAUAAGAUCAAAUUAUUAGAUGACAGCAAUUAUUAAGUUGGAAAAGUUUGUGGAAGAAAACAACUGUGGUCUAAUUCUGGUAAUAGCCUUGCAUUUGCCUGGAAAGACUAGGCCCACCUCCAAAACAGAAGACAGGAUUACUGCUUCAGACAGCCUGCUCAGUAAAAUUAAGCAAGUUCUGUGACAGCAGGUGAUACACAGUUUGUCAGUUUAUACAGGGCAAUGUAACUUCUCUCCAACAAGCAAAAUUUCCUGCAGUGGCUUAAGAGGUAAAUGGAUUAAUCAUAGAAUGAAUGUUAUAACAAAUCAUGUCACACAGCUACAUUCAAACUAGAAACCAGUUAUCAUGACUGAGAUUAUUGUGGUUUUCCUCAGUCCUUCCAGGAAAAUGUGCAUCAGUCUUCCACUUGUUACAAUGAUUUAUUGGAACAUUUGCUCUGAUAUGUGACUCAUUCUAUAUCCAAAGGUUUGUGAAUAUACUUUUCAACCUGUAUCUGCAUCUGCUUGAAUUUGAAGUAAAUGAACAAUGAACACCAUUUCCAAUUCAUUAUUCACCAGUCAACCUAUAAUAAGAGGUUAAGUACUCUAAACUAUAGACAAUUAUAAAUAAACAGCUAGAGCACUUCCAGAGAAUACAGAAACACAACAACUUUUCUUUUAGCUGAGGGAUCUAUCUUGAACACUUUCAAAUUCACUGCUCACAAGGUGGUAAAUUGCAAAUAGAGUUUCGAGAACAAGUUGUGAGAUGCCCGAUUUAUGCCACAAGACACUUUGCUUUUUUUUAAGCUUGAACACAACGUGUUUAACCAUGUUCCACUGUGAGGUAAGCAUAAAGUAAUCCUUGCACUUAAUUAAUUAAGCAUCAUGCCAUUAAGAUGCAUGGAUGAGUAGAACUGCACUGAGGUGAGUGGCCAGUUUCACGGCAAGGCCACUUAACUCCCAGGACCCAACAGGCAGGUGGCCCCCAGAGCCUAUCUUGGUCAUAUGGAGAAGAGUAAAAUUUCCUGUCCCUGUUCAGAAUUCAAUUCCUUUAUUGCACAGCUUAGUCAUCAUAUUAAAUGAGCUAUCCAAAUUCCCACAUUCCCAUCUAAACCAAAUAAUAUUGCAAGAUGAAAAAUAUGGAUUGGAAUUGCCUUUGGGAAUGUUGCUAUUCAACUGUUGUACUAGUUGCUUUCUGCGAUAUUACUCGACUAACAGUUUACAGUCUACUACAGUUGUGUCUGGCCAGCCAGGAAAUCAACACAUCAGCAAAGAUGAGAACAACUAAGGGCAUUCAUUAUACCACUGCAUUCAAGAAAAAUGAUCCACUGUUGCAGGACUGACUCUACAGAUCAAACUGUUGAAGUUACAGACAUGUCAACAGUUUCAACUUUUACAGAACGGAUAAUACCUCCACAAUAAAUUGUACAUGUAAGUUAUGCAAUUUCAUUUCUUCAUAUUAGGAUAAAUCUAGCUGAGGUUGAUAAUAUAAUUACAGAGGCCUGCUUCAAAACACGACUAUGGAGGGGCCAUACACUUUCAAUAUGAAAUGUAUCUGGGUGGCACACAUUUUCAUGCCAGAUAUUGCUAUGCUCUUACCAUAAGAAAAAUAGUCUUUUAUAUAAGUUAGA